rnacentral:lncRNA from 1 species
UCGCGCAGGCGGCGGAACUCGUGCCCCCAGAGGCUGGGGCUGAACUCCUGGAACUUGAUGGUUGCGCGCAGCUCGCGCUGGGGGCGGUCGCAGGUGAGCAGCGGGGCGGGGGCGGGGGCGGGGGGGGCGCGGCACAGCCCCCCCUGCGCCCCCCCCCCCCCAGGACCGUUUGUAGGACUCGUACCCCCCCCCCCCCCGCCGCCCCCGGGCACACCACGUCCAGCCGGUCCCCGAUCUGCGGGUACAGCACGUAGCCCCCCGCCGCCAGGAACCUGGGGGGGCGCGGGGGGGUCACACGCGUGUGCAAGAGCCACAGACCCGCGGGCACGCGUGUGCACGUGUGUGUGUGCAGAGCUACGGGCACACACACACACCUACGUGGGCAUUGCGUGUGCACCUUGCAUGCUUACACACACGUACACAGGUGUACACACACAGCUUGCACACUUACAUACGUGUGCACACAUGUACACACUCAGCUUGCACAUGUAUGUAUGUGUACACACACACAUGGGCAUGCAUGUGCACCUUGCACACUUACUCAUGUGUACACACACGUACACAGGUGUACACACACACAGCUUGCACACUUACACACAUGUACACGUGUACACACUCAGCUUGCACACAUAUGUACAUGUACACAGCUACAUGGGCAUGCACGUGCACCUUGCACACUUACUCACGUGUACACACACGUACAAAGGUGUGCACACACAGCUUGCACACUUACACACAUGUACACAUGUGUACACAUGCAGUUUGCACACAUAUGUACACGUACACACACACACGGGCAUACAUGUGCACACACACCCACAUACACACAUGUACACACACAUGCAUGGGUGUACACACACACCUUGCUCACACGUACACAGGUGUACACACACAGCUUGCACACUUACAUAAGUGUGCACGCAUGUACACACACAGCUUGCACACGUAUGUACGUGUACACACACACAUGGGCAUGCAUGUGCACCUUGCACACUUACGUGUAUACACACAUACACAAUUGUACACGCAUCUUGCACACUUACAUAUGUGUGCACAGGUGUACACGUGCAGCUUGCACACAUAUGUAUGUGUACAUGUACACACACAGCUUGAACACAUGUACACAUACACACACACGGGCAUGCAUGUGCGUGCACACCCACAUACAUACAUGUACACACACACAUGCAUGGGUGUACACACACACCUUGCACACGUACAUACAUGUGCACACGUGCACACACUCAGCUUGCACACAUAUGUACGUGUACACACGUGGACAUGCACACAGUGCACACGUGUGUGUACACAAAUAUAUGUGCACACAUGUGCACACACACACACAUACGUACAUGUACACACACACAGCUGUACACACACACCUUGCACACAAACAUCCAUGUACACACACAUCCAUGGGUGUACAUGGACACCUUGCACACAUACAU